rnacentral:rRNA from 1 species
UACGAAGGGGGCUAGCGUUGCUCGGAAUCACUGGGCGUAAAGGGUGCGUAGGCGGGUCUUUAAGUCAGGGGUGAAAUCCUGGAGCUCAACUCCAGAACUGCCUUUGAUACUGAGGAUCUUGAGUUCGGGAGAGGUGAGUGGAACUGCGAGUGUAGAGGUGAAAUUCGCAGAUAUCAGGAGGAACACCAGCGGCGAAGGCGGCGCUCUGGGCCGGUACUGACGCUGAGGCGCGAAAGCUAGGGGAGCAAACAGG